rnacentral:tRNA from 1 species
UGGGGUGGGGCUCAGUGGUAGAGUGCUUGCCUAGCAUGCGUGAGGCACUGGGUUUGAUCCUCAGCACCACAU